UGACGUACAAACGUUAUUGAUACAGGAAGUGACAGACAGUUCUUCUGUUGUGUCAGAUCCUGUUCAAUAUAAAUACUUGCAAUGUUAUUAAAGUAGACAUAUCACAUUGAUUGCGUUUGAACAACUUCUUCACGAACAUCCUUGCAAUGCUGACUUGCACCACGAAUGCUGACUUGCAUCACGAAUGCUGUCUUCCCACAACGGCGACUGAUGAGCGGCUGGUUGCUGGUUGCAAGCAGUGGAAGACACACAGCGGAGUGGUUCAGUCAAUGGGAGCAGUGGUGUCUCUUUACCGGGGCCUUUGUGUGGAGAACAGGUUGGGUUGUAGCAUUGUGGCUCUAACCGGCAGAGCUGACAUAGAUCCAGUUAAUAACUAAAAGGGCCCCACUACACAGUGGGAUCCCUAUCUGCCUGCCACACUGACCUCUGAGAGGGGCUACCCAGGGGGCCUUGGUGUCCCUGUCCCCCAGUCACAAUGAGGGGCAUCCAGCAUCGCCCUCCACCCCCACCCCCCUCCCUCCAGACAGCCCACCUGCCCAGCUACCCCCCCCAUCCCCCAGAGUGGUGUCUGUGUGCGGCCAGGGCCGGCAUUCCACUCGAACACUGAUGCAGAGUGACCAAAGUGACCGUUUCACACAAGCUGCCCUCCAGUAGAGCUGUGCUGGAGCCAGACUCAGGCAGGCCUGAGAGAACCGGGGACAGGAGGGGACACAGGAUGGACAUCCUUAACUGGAAGGCGACACACUCUGGUCUGUUUGUCUAGAAGGCCAUUUUAAGGCAGAUGCCAACAUAUUUAAGUCAUGGACAUUACUGUCUGAGAUCACACAACUGUAUUUUAUAGAAUGUUCCCAACACAAGAACAGACUUUGUUACGAGUGCUUUUAGCUUGGCUGCCCUAUCAUAUCAGAACACUUUGCAGAAGGAUUUUAAGACUCGAUCAUUUUAUUUCUGAUUGAUGGUUUUAAAUCCCGGGUUGGAGGGCUGCUGUACACAGAUUGCACGUUUUUAAACCUGCUCUGUAUGUUCAGUCAGUCACUUUUCACUGUUUUAACCUCUACUCGUUGUUCUGCUUCAUGCUGUGCCAUGUGGAACUAUAUGUAUGCUGCCCUCAGUCUUGGCUCACUUGAAAAAGAAAUGUCGUCUCAAUGUGACCUCUGGUUAAAUAAAGGAUACAUAAAACAUCAAAUGAGAGAGACAGAACAAAGGGAGAUACGUCUCCACAAAGACAACAGCAGAGAGCUGAAAAAACAACUAGUCAUCAGAAUCACAGAAUGAAAUGCAAGCAAGAGAGGGAGAGAGAGAGAUACAAGCCUAUGGAGAAUAGCUUUUUGAAAUGACAACAGAGUUAUAGAUAUGCGUAGUGUUUAACACCACUAAACGAGUAGGGAGCAUAUGUGACUGGAAAUGAAGUGAAGAAGAUUCACACCCUUUAGUUUGUAUAAUUAUAUUUAACUAUAAUUAAUUAUAUUUACCUUUUAUAUCUUGUUCUUAUUACGUAAGUACAAUGUUAAUAUGUACUCUAGUUGGAUAUUAUAAUAUUUCUUAUUUUGUUUUGUCACAAAUCAUAUUUGACUUGUUUUCUGUCUUUAAUUAUGAAAUUAACAAUUCAGAUUAACAAUCAAUAAAGUGGUCUAAAAA